rnacentral:lncRNA from 1 species
CUUUAAGGUAGAUGGGGUGUCUAAAUUAUAAUCCAUAGAAUCUUUUAAUAAUUUGCCAAAAUGUAGUUCAUAUCCUGCUUGUUUAAAAACAUUAAUAAAAAGAAUGGGUCACCGGACUUAUUUUCACGCUACAGGUUCUUCAAAAUUGUCAAGAUUUUGUAUAGAUUAUGCAUGGAAAACCCAUUUUUCCGCCAUAAAACGCAAACCACACCAUAGAAUUUAGAGAUAAAAAAUGAGAAGAUAGCUUCAAUAUUAUACUUUCAGAUAAGAUAAAGAAAAAAUGGGGUCACCGGAC